rnacentral:pre_miRNA from 1 species
UCAUGUUGGUGAGGAGGAUGGCCGUCUGGACAUUCCAGACAAUAUGGCCCCUGAUAUUACUAAUAU